AAAAUAAAAAGCCAAGUGAAAAUGUGACAGACCUUGCAGGGUUUGGGAUGCAGCUCCUGAAGGGAAGGAGGAUGAAGGGGGGAUGAUCUGAGCCAGGAUUUUCUCCUUGGCAAUGGCACCAGCAGGAGAGGCUGGAAAUGCAGAGGAAAUCAAUCCAGUGCAGAAAUAAAAAU
rnacentral:lncRNA from 12 species